AACGAACGCUGGCGGCAUGCCAAACACAUGCAAGUCGAACGAGACCUUCGGGUUUAGUGGCGCACGGGUGCGUAACGCGUGGGAAUCUACCCUUGGGUUCGGAAUAACAGUUAGAAAUGACUGCUAAUACCGGAUGAUGACGUAAGUCCAAAGAUUUAUCGCCCAAGGAUGAGCCCGCGUAAGAUUAGCUUGUUGGUGGGGUAAUGGCCUACCAAGGCGACGAUCUUUAGCUGGUCUGAGAGGAUGAUCAGCCACACUGGGACUGAGACACGGCCCAGACUCCUACGGGAGGCAGCAGUGGGGAAUAUUGGACAAUGGGCGAAAGCCUGAUCCAGCAAUGCCGCGUGAGUGAUGAAGGCCUUAGGGUUGUAAAGCUCUUUUACCAGGGAUGAUAAUGACAGUACCUGGAGAAUAAGCUCCGGCUAACUCCGUGCCAGCAGCCGCAGUAA
rnacentral:rRNA from 1 species